GACAGAGGAUGCAAGCGUUAUCCGGAAUGAUUGGGCGUAAAGCGUGUGUAGGCGGGUGCCUAAGUACCUUGUGAAAUCCCCCGGCUCAACCGGGGAACGGCUGGGUAUACUGGGUGCCUUGGGUCAUCUAGGGGCUGCCGGAACAAAUGGUGGAGCGGUGAAAUGCGUAGAUAUCAUUUGGAACGCCAACGGCGAAAGCAGGCAGCUGGGGAUGCACCGACGCUGAGACACGAAAGCCAGGGGAGCGAACGGG
rnacentral:rRNA from 1 species